UAGGGAAUCUUCCACAAAUGGACGCAAGUCUGAUGGAGCAACGCCGCGUGAGUGAAGAAGGGUUUCGGCUCGUAAAGCUCUGUUGUUAAAGAAGAACGUGGGUAAGAGUAACUGUUUACCCAGUGACGGUAUUUAACCAGAAAGCCACGGCUAACUACGUGCCAG
rnacentral:rRNA from 1 species